UCUCUCUUUACUAGAACUCCACAGCAGCACAUUAACAUAGAGAGAAAAACACCAGAGACAAAAAAAAAAAUCAGGAAUCUAUAAAAGGCUUCUCCCAACUAACUAUUUCCUCUUUAACGCUGCGAAAUAUAAAGUACAUGAACAAUACACCACAAAUAAAAUAACAGGAUAAACAAACGUAACAUAACGAUGAAUGCGAUCCGAAAUUGAAACUGUGGAACCAGUGGGUGAAGCCUUGACCUUUAUCCUGUAGAGUAGUCGGAUCUAAGAACUGUAGCCAAACCAUUAAACUGAAACGAGAUAAACAGAGGCGAAAACACUGAUUAGCGAAUGAAAUGUACUGAGAAAACAUGAAUCCCCAUCGUAAAUACGGACAGUAUAAUAUCCCAGGUAGUGAAAAAACCUGAAUCCCUAUCAUAAAAUACUGACGGUACCAUAUCCCAGAUAAACCCCAACUCCCCCAGAUAACCAACCUAGCCCAGGUGACCAGGUGAAUAAAUAACAAGUCAGUCAAACCAACAAACAAGGGGAGGGAGAAACUGGGAGGGAAAUAUUAGCCUCCUGUCAUUAAUAAAAUUAAGACUAUAGUUACACUAAAGCUAGUAUAAUCUACAAUUUUAUAGCAUGACAGGCUUCAUAUUUGCUGUUUUAACGCUCGGACAGCAAAGACCAAAGAAACACAAUCCACCAUACCAACCUAAAAUCUGCGAAGAUAGCGCCUCGUAACCGGCAGGAAAGCGUACGAUGUCUUGGAGAAAAACGCCCCGCCAUGUCGGUACCUAAAGUCGCCAUGUUACGGACUGAAGUGAACCAAAAAAACCUAUACGCCAUGCCAAUGCCAACCACAACCAAGCGGUACAUGAAGGGCGAGAAAAAGGGAAGAACCAUUUAAACAAACGGUGACGUCGAACACCGCCUAAAGGUGGGAGCGCUACCAAAGUAAGAAUAUGACCCUCGGGUCCGACUAAGGAUGAUAGACAUCUAAGGUCCGAACCACCGAACCCAUCUGAAAGAAAAACAAGGUAUAAUAACGGAAAUAAAUCGGAAACAUCUCUUCAGAUAGUUCUGGUAUUCCUGAAUGUCAUUAAUUCCUCCCACUUGCCAACCAGGUUCUAUUGUCACCGAAAUGACUGAUGCACAAGAUACCUAUCUCACCAGGGAGAAAAUAGAGGCCACUUUACCAGAACUGGAUCCCGCAAUCCCUAGAAGUUUCUUGAGGGUCGCGUCUAAUUCAAAGUAACUAAUGAAUAUACGUUGCUGGGACUCCGAUGGGCUCAGAUCCCUUUAUCCCAAGCACCUCCAGCAUUCCAAAUUGCGUUUAGGAUAGGGUCGUCUGCCACACCAGACUCUGGGCCCCGUCUGGGAUGUCAUUCAAAAGUGGAGGCAAGUGUGAAAUUCCAGGUCAAGGGUCCCCUAUAAAAGGUAUGGGUUGGAGCUGAGAUAAGCCUCCGUCAAGUAUUUCCAUGUAAAAAAAGGACACAUCUUUUACUUUCUCGUUUGUUCUUGCUAGCACAACUCAAUCGUGUAGCGGAGAACAAUCGGCUUGCCAGUGCGGACUUAACAGUAUAGGCACUGUAGUGGGCCGCACUCAGGAUCUCCUGAAUACUAGACAGGUGCUUAACCAGCAAAACCGCAGUGCCCUAUCGGGGUCUAAGUCUGGGUUUGCGGCUACUUUGUUCGGUAGCCCGGCUGGGAAUACCGCUCGAAUUAUCCUGCGGGCUUGUCAAGCCAACGGUCUACGGGCCCAGAAACGCACCGAUGGUGCUAGGUGAUCGGGCAGAGACCAUUCCAAAGAAACCCAGGUGAGCAAUGGAUCAAGGGUCGAACAGGGGUUCGUUUAAGGCGAUCCAUGAGAUGACUUCUUCCACGGUCAGCGGGGGCCCUGUAGUGGACUUUGUUUUACAUCUCAUGGUGCCACUAGGGGCUGCCAUCAUAAUCCACACCCCUACCGUCCUCUCCCUCCGAGGGGAACCGGUUCAGCUAGGGCGGCCAUGGUGGGGGGGGUUACGAGGACCUUCACCCCUGCGCCACAUAGGCAGUGUCUUAUCUUUCUGGGAGCCAAGUUCAGGGCAUUCACCCUUCCAGUAGCACUCAUGCGCACUUGCCUGCUCUCCUCAAGGAGAGUCUGACUCAUUCAAGUUGCCUGCCAUUUUAAAGGUGGGCCUUCUAGCGUUACGCUCCUGAUAAGCUUAAGGGAGGACCCACAGAGGUGGUCACUGCCAUAGUAGUCAUUGUCUGUUAACCUGGAUAAGGGUUCUCCUGUGCAGCGGUCCCAGGCAAAGCGACCUCAAGGAGUAUAGAGGACAAGUGUCACCGGCAGGGAGAUAGGGGCAGCACCCCAUAUAGUGACCGAGGCAAGUUGGGCAGCGCAUGCAAUGCACAAGCGUGAGUAUGUGGCAGUAGGCUUGGCAUGCAGACAUUCUAGCACAGGCCAGAUCAAUGGGGCACAGACAAAGCAUGCCAAUCAAUGGGGGCACAGGCAAAGCAGGCCAAUCAGUAAGGCACGGACAAAGCCGGCCAAGUCCUGGGACACAGACAAGUCAGGAUCAUCAGAGAUGUACAGGUGAGGAACUAUGCAUUUCAUUCUUCCGAUACCUUUCGCUCUUCAGAUAAGAUGUACAUAACACUUCUUCAGAUUAAUAGCACAUAACACACUUCUGUGUAAAUGUAAUUAACACUCUUCUGUGUAACUGUACGUAACCUUCUUCUGUGUAAAUGUACGUAACACUCUUCUGUGCAGCCGUACAUAACAUCCUUCUGUGUAAACAUACAAUACGUUCUUCUGUGUAACCGUACCUAAUGCUCUUCUGUGUAACUGUGCAUAACACUUCUCCGUGUAACUGUGCGUACAUUCUUCUGUGUAACUGUACAUAGUAUAGUACUGUGUAACUGUACAUAGCGUUCUUCAGUGUAACUGUACAUAGUAUUCCUCUGUGUAACUGUACAUAGCAUUCCUCUGUGUAACUAACGAAAUCCCUUAUUAACCAGACUAUGCGAACCAGCCUGUUCGGUUAUUUAGACGUGUGUGGGGUGAUUUUGUGCAAAUAUCAAUAAAAUGAAUAAACUCCCGAAUCACCCGACCUCCUACUGAGGUCAUGUGGCGCCCAUUAACCACCCAGACUUUGCGGUUAACCCCAGAGUAAUUGGGGAACAGCUUGGUGGUCCACGUUAGUCUACCGAACACGUGGCAGUCGCCAUUUUAAAUUGUCGAACGCCCUGCAGUAACUGGCGGCGGUGCCCUGGAACUCUUUUUCGGAUACUUAUUCUGCCGAACACCGCUGAUGUCUACCAAGGUCCUUGUUCAUACGGCUGGAAACACAAAUGCCGGAGACAUUUCACCGUUCGGGACUUAGAUUUAUGCGAAAUGGACCGACCCCAGAUAGCUGCAGUUGUGGAACUCUUUGUCGGAUACAAACACACGAACGGCCGGUGAAGCCCAAACUUCAUUCGACGUUAUUAAGAACUGUGUUCGUGGGAUCUGAGCGCUAUUCGCCUAUAAUAUACACUCAGAUCCAAGCUAUCUGGGGGUAUGUGGGACUUAAAGUUUAUGUUUAGUAAAAUGUAAGUUAUAGAUUUUUAUGCUGUUUUGUGAAUAUAGUAAAAGCCAUGUUUUUCUCUACCUGGAGAUAAUUAAGGUUCCUUUUACUACCUUAAGUUAAUUAUCUCCAGGAUAGAAAGGAGGGCGUUACCUAUGUAAAAGGGUAGUGCUUAUGUUAUAGCCACUGCGAUUGGCUACUGUAAUUCUUGUGCCUCAGUCUUCCACCUGGUCGCCUAGGGGAGUGUCCACCAGGUGGGGGACCUGCAUAAAUAGUGGGCAGGUAGCCCCAUUAAAUGAGAUCGUUUUACCCCUUCAUUAAGUCUCAACUCAUGUUUUGGGGAUUGGAAGCUAUAAUCAUUCUGUUUCAGCUGGAUUUCGGGAGAAGCUACAAGGAUCAGCACUGCACGAAUAGGAGGAUCCUUUACAGACUGUACCUAGCAUUCCAUUGUGUAACUGUAGAUAACGCACUUCAGUUAAAUAGUGCCUGAUACUCCAUAAAUAGUGAACUUGCAUAUGGAGUACACCUGUAGUCAGGGAACUCACCAACUGAGUUACCUCACAAGAGGUGCUCCAUUGGUCAAGAUGAUAAAAUAGAGCGCUGCAAGCAAUCAUCUGAACAAACAAAAAGGGGGGGGGGGAUGAGUAUAAGUGGUAAC